rnacentral:rRNA from 1 species
GAUGAACGCUGGCGGCGUGCUUAACACAUGCAAGUCGAACGAAGCACUUUAUUUGAUUUCCUUCGGGACUGAUUAUUUUGUGACUGAGUGGCGGACGGGUGAGUAACGCGUGGGUAACCUGCCUUGUACAGGGGGAUAACAGUUGGAAACGGCUGCUAAUACCGCAUAAGCGCACAGCAUCGCAUGAUGCAGUGUGAAAAACUCCGGUGGUAUAAGAUGGACCCGCGUUGGAUUAGCUAGUUGGUGAGGUAACGGCCCACCAAGGCGACGAUCCAUAGCCGACCUGAGAGGGUGACCGGCCACAUUGGGACUGAGACACGGCCCAAACUCCUACGGGAGGCAGCAGUGGGGAAUAUUGCACAAUGGGCGAAAGCCUGAUGCAGCGACGCCGCGUGAGCGAAGAAGUAUUUCGGUAUGUAAAGCUCUAUCAGCAGGGAAGAUAAUGACGUUACCUGACUAAGAAGCACCGGCUAAAUACGU